UACGAAGGGGGCUAGCGUUGCUCGGAAUUACUGGGCGUAAAGCGCACGUAGGCGGAUUGUUAAGUCGGGGGUGAAAUCCUGGAGCUCAACUCCAGAACUGCCUUCGAUACUGGCGAUCUAGAGUCCGGGAGAGGUGAGUGGAACUGCGAGUGUAGAGGUGAAAUUCGUAGAUGUUCGCAAGAACACCAGUGGCGAAGGCGGCUCACUGGCUCGGUUCUGACGCUGAGGCGCGAAAGCGUGGGGAGCAAACAGG
rnacentral:rRNA from 1 species